rnacentral:rRNA from 1 species
AUUGAACGCUGGCGGCAGGCCUAACACAUGCAAGUCGAGCGCGAGGCGGACGGGUGCGUGAUGUAUGGGGACUGCCCGAUAGAGGGGGGUAACUACUCGAGACGGUGGCGAAUACCGCGUACUCUCUGAGAACCCACAUGGGAUUAGCUAGUGGGUAAGGUAAUGGCUUACCUAGGCGACGAUCCCUAGCUGGUCUGAGAGGAUGAUCAGCCACACUGGGACUGAGACACGGCCCAGACUCCUACGGAGGCAGCAGUGGGGAAUAUUGCACAAUGGGCACAAGCCUGAUGCAGCCAUGCCGCGUGUAUGAAGAAGGCCCUAGGGUUGUAAAGUACUUUCAGUCGGGAGGCGUUACCGACAGAAGAAGCACCGGCUAACUCCGUGCCAGCAGCCGCGGUAAUAC